UGUAGGUUGCUAAUACAGAAGUCGAUAUAAAAUUAAGCGUUGGUUUGGUAUGGAUACAUCAGAGGAAAAGCAAACUACACUUGACGACAUCAACGAUGAAGAAAAAAUGGGUGAUCAAUCUGAUGGUGAAGCGUUAGUAAGGAGGAAGAGGAAUGUUUCCUCUGUUCCGGAAAAUGGCAAUACCCAGCCAGAUGGGAAAGUUGCCGAAGAAUUUUAAUUUUCCAUAACAAUGAAGAGAAAAAGAAGUUACAGAAAACUGAUUAUUUUCUAGCUUUAAUGUCAAAUAUAAGACUGUUUAUUUAUUUUUUUUAAUUUAAAAUUUUUAAACUAAUAAACGAUGUUCCUGUUAAUAAGCUUAAUAGAUAAAUAAUAUUAUUCAAUUAGCUUUUUUAGUUGUUUUAAAUUAAUAUUACAGUAUUAAUUGGCACUGAUUCAGUAUUCAGUAAGUAAAAAAUACGUUUAUUGUAAUAUGAGAUAAGUGAUUGUAAUAUAGAGUUUAAGUGAAAAUAAGAACGAAUGUUAAUGAGUUGUUUGAUAAAAAGUAUGUUUAUUGUUAUGAUUUUAUGUGUUAUCUUGAUAGUUUGUAUAACAACGUUAAUUUAAUUAAAGUUUAUAUAGUUUUCAAUAUAUUUACAGAACUAAAUAGUUUAUAUUGCAAGGUAU